AUUGAACGCUGGCGGCAGGCCUAACACAUGCAAGUCGAACGAGUGGCGGACGGGUGAGUAAUGUCUGGGAAACUGCCUGAUGGAGGGGGAUAACUACUGGAAACGGUAGCUAAUACCGCAUACCAUCAGAUGUACCCAGAUGGGAUUAGCUUGUAGGUGGGGUAAAGGCGCACCUAGGCGACGAUCCCUAGCUGGUCUGAGAGGAUGACCAGCGACACUGGGACGGAGACACGGUCCAGAUGCCUACGGGAGGCAGCAGUGGGGAAUAUUGCACAAUGGGCGCAAGCCUGAUGAAGCCAUGCCGCGUGUAUGAAGAAGGCCUUAGGGUUGUAAAGUACUUUCAGCGGGGAGGCGUUACCCGCAGAAGAAGCACCGGCUAACUCCGUGCCAGCAGCCGCGGUAAUUC
rnacentral:rRNA from 1 species